GACGAACGCUGGCGGCGUGCUUAACACAUGCAAGUCGAACGGUAAGGCCCUUCGGGGUACACGAGUGGCGAACGGGUGAGUAACACGUGGGUGAUCUGCCCUGCACUUCGGGAUAAGCCUGGGAAACUGGGUCUAAUACCGGAUAGGACCACUGCCCGCAUGGGUGGUGGUGGCAAGCGUUUGCGGUGUGGGAUGGGGCCGCGGCGUAUCAGCUUGUUGGUGGGGUGAUGGCCUACCAAGGCGACGACGGGUAGCCGGCCUGAGAGGGUGACCGGCCACACUGGGGCUGAGAUACGGCCCAGACUCCUACGGGAGGCAGCAGUGGGGAAUAUUGCACAAUGGGCGCAAGCCUGAUGCAGCGACGCCGCGUGAGGGAUGACGGCCUUCGGGUUGUAAACCUCUUUCAGCACCGACGAAGCGCAAGUGACGGUAGGUGCAGAAGAAGGACCGGCCAACUACGUGCCAGCCGCCGCUGUAA
rnacentral:rRNA from 1 species